UACGAAGGGGGCUAGCGUUGUUCGGAUUUACUGGGCGUAAAGCGCAUGUAGGCGGGCCGAUAAGUUGGGGGUGAAAUCCCGGAGCUCAACUCCGGAACUGCCUCCAAAACUGUCGGCCUGGAGCAGAUGAGAGGCGAGUGGGAUUCCGAGUGUAGAGGUGAAAUUCGUAGAGAUUCGGAGGAACACCAGUGGCGAAGGCGACUCGCUGGCAUCUUUCUGACGAUGAGAUGCGAAAGAGUGGGGAGCAAACAGG
rnacentral:rRNA from 1 species